AAAUUGAAGAGUUUGAUCAUGGCUCAGAUUGAACGCUGGCGGCAGGCCUAACACAUGCAAGUCGAACGGUAACAGGAAGCAGCUUGCUGCUUCGCUGACGAGUGGCGGACGGGUGAGUAAUGUCUGGGAAACUGCCUGAUGGAGGGGGAUAACUACUGGAAACGGUGGCUAAUACCGCAUAACGUCGCAAGACCAAAGAGGGGGACCUUCGGGCCUCUUGCCAUCAGAUGUGCCCAGAUGGGAUUAGCUAGUUGGUGA
rnacentral:rRNA from 1 species